ACUAUCUUCCAUAAUAGAAUUCUAAGAAAUAUUUUCAGAUCAUAAAAACAAGAAAUACAUACAGAUGUUUGUGAUGAUGCUGACUGUGAUGCCAAUGCUGCCAAAGGAGUUUUCAAGCUAAGACCAGGUGCCACCUGAAAACAUACAUAAUAAGUUACGAGUUCCGCCUCUACAAAGAAUGAUACUAAUUAAUAUAAUAUAUUAGCAUAAAAAGUGUAUAACAAACAGAUCUCAAAGAUAAGGGCACAGAGUAAAAAACCCAGCAUACAACAAUAACCAUCAAAGUUGUUUCCCACUCGGUGAGACUAAUUAGAUGGAUCAAAGAAUGCUUUUUCAUGAAACCUCAUGUAUAAUAAUAAACCAUUGAACCUUAAACUUUCUCGCUAAUGCAUUCCUAUUUUGUUGUGACCCACAAAACUGGCUAUAGACUAACCCAAUGAAUGUCCAUAGCCUUUAUUAAACAAAACUUUAUCCAUCAAUAAACACGCAUAAUAUCAAAUUCAACCCAUUCUUAACUUCAGUACUGCCAAAAUCUUAGAUAUAAAUUAAAAAAAAAAAAAAAAGAUUUUCAAUAUACCCAUAAAUGUUUAAGUCUAAUUCAAAUUAAACUGGUACGAAUAACAACAAUAGUGAAUCACCGCAAAAAUGAGGAAUGCCGACGAGAUAAAUUACCAGAUACCGCAAGAAUAGUGAAUAUACACAGAUAUAAAUUACCAGUUUGAACAACCAAAUCAAACAAAAGGGAGAUGAAUGAAUAUACCUGAGUUGAAAAACGCCGACGAGAGAGAGCGUCGGCGAGGGUGCUACAGUUGAAAGAAAACCGCCGACAAGAGAGAGCACAAAUAGAUAAUAAUGGAGACACAAUGAAUUUCAAUCAGCGAUGGGUGAAAGGGGAGAAUCGAAUAUCGACGACGGCGAAAUCUCGUGAGGUGCUAGGGUUGGGAGAAAAGGGAAAUGGCAUGGGAGAG
rnacentral:lncRNA from 1 species